UUGGUUGCAGCCAUCAUUGUUGUUUGGCGGGCCGGGCUGGAUUCGAACCCGCCAGCUCAGGUGUAUGUCUGGCGCCGUAGCCGCUUGAGCCACAGGCGCUGAGCCCUGGCUAUUUUUUUGUUGCAGUUGUCAUUGUUGUUUUAGCUGGCCUGGGCCAGGUUCGAACCUGCCAGCCUCGGUGUAUGUGGCUGGCGCCAUAACCACUGUGCUAUGGGCGCCGAGCCUAAGAUAAAUUAAAAAAAAUUUUUCUUCAUUGGGAGGUGCCUGUGGUUCAAAGGAGUGGGGCGCCGGCCCCAUAUGCUGGAGGUGCGGGUUCAAACCCAGCCUGGCCAAAAACUGCAAAAAAAAAAAAAAAAAUUGUUUUUUCUUCAUUAAUGAGUAUAUGGGCUCAGCUCCUGUAGCUCAGUGGUUAGGGCACCAGCCACAUGCACCAGGGCUGUGGGUUUGAACCCAGCCAGGGCCUGCUAAACAACAAUGGAAAAAAAAAAAAUAAAAAACAGCUGGGAGUUGUGGUUGGUGCCUGUAGUCCCAGCUACUGGGAGGCUGAGGCAAGCGAAUUGCUUAAGUCCAAGAGUUUGAGAUUGCUGUGAGCUGUAGGGUGACAUGGUAAGAUCUGUCUCAAAAAAAAAAAAAAAAAAAAAAGAGAAUACAUUCAGGGCAAUUUGAAUCUGUUCCCCGAGGGAAAAAAAUUAACAAUAAAAUUAAAAAUGAAGUCCUUUUAAGGGUAUACAUUUUCCUAAGAAUACAGCUGUGGCUGCCUCCCAUAGGAGUUGGGUAUGAAGGGAAUCUAGCUUUGCAGGGUUUCAGACAAGUUUCUUGUUUGAUCCAGAUAUUUUUUAUUUUUUUAAUGUUUGUAUUUUGCUGUUAUUGAAAUUUAUUUUUAUUCCUCAUGACAUUUGAUUUUUUUGACAUUACAAAUCUUUAGAUUUUAUUAUAUAUAUAUAUACAUAUAUAUUUUUUGAGACAGAAUUUUACUAUGGCACCCUUGGUAGAGUGCUGUGUUGUCACAGCUUACUGCACCCUCAAACUCUUGGGCUCAAGCGAUUCUCUUGCCUCAGCCUUCCAAGUAGCUGGGACCACAGGUGCCUGCCACCACGCUGGGCUAUUUGUUGGUUGCAGUUGUCAUUGUUGUUUAGCAGACCAGGGCCCAGCAUAAACCAACCUGCCUGUGUAUGUGGCCGGCGCCCUACUCACUAAUUUACCUGCACUGAGCCUCUCUGUUCAACUUACAUGAUUAUUUUGUGGCCACUUACCUGGUUGUUUUUUUGUUUUGUUUUUGCAAAUAGUCCACAGGCUUAAAAUAGAUGCAAAAUUUUCUCUCUGAAUAUAAUUAACUUGACCUUGCUGUUUGUAUUAUUCAAUUCCUUUAUUCCCAUACCUGUUUUUUGUCCGCAGAUUUGUCUAUUUCCAGAAUUGGCCUACUGAACCUUGGGGAAGGAUGAGGCGGGCAUUCUGGUCUGGGGUCAAUCUACCGCCCUUCCAGCGGCAGAGUCCAGAGAUCCAAGCUGUACUGCUCUCCUGUACUGAGGGUGGGAGCUGGGGAGUGGGGUAGGAGCAGAGAAAGGUUGGGCGUGCAGUCAGUCCGGUUGCCAGGAAGCAGACCGGGAAACAAUGGGGUCUGGGAGUUGGGCAGGGCAGGAGGGGGAGUGGGUGGGGAUCCAGUCGCCUAGCUUUGUUUUCGGGCCCGCAGCGCACCACAGGUCAGUGCAUCCUGAGCCCCAGUGUCAACCCCUCCCCCACUCAUCCUUUCCCAACACCACUAAAAUGUCCUGAUCCCCACAGAGCCCGAGGGAAUUCCCGUAAGUUUGAGUCUAAACUUGGUACAAACGAGUACACAGUCCUGCUGAACUUGUUUUGAGGGUAGGCGGCAGAGACCACGCCCCCCAGAGAGUAGGGAAAGCUGUUUGUUUGCCUGGAGCCGGGGAUACGGAGUGGUCCCCGCCCCUAAGUCCGGUUGAUGCCCCCGGGAGCGGAGAAGUGCAUUCCCAGCGAAGUCAGGGUGGAGAGUCCGCAGCUGCCACCUUCUGUCCACAGGUGCAAACCGUAAGCGCCCCCAACCCGCGCUAUGGACUCAGACAUCUGGGUUGGCCCUUGGCGGCCACACCGGCCCCGUGGCCCCAUCGGGGCGCACCACAGAGGCCCUGGGCCCAAAUACAAGCUGCCAUCGAGUACAGGCUAUAUCCUACACGACCCGUCGCGGCCCCGAGCCCCCGCCUUCACCUUCGGCGCACGCCUUCCCACGCAGCAGACAACUUGCAGCCCCGGGCCGGGUCACCUGGUACCAGCCCGCCUGACAGUGCGCGGCCGGGACGGCGCGCCCUCUUACUCCAUCUUGGGCCGCCUGCGCCACUCGGCGCCUUUCCUCACUCCCGGACCGGGUCAGGACCCUGGGACCCCGGUCACCCCAACGCAGAGCUGCCUCCAGGGAGGCCCACCUGAGCCCCAAAGACCCCCUAGGGCAGGUACUUCCCAGAGCGAGCUGGGAAUGCGACAUACCCCAGUGCGCCCCGGCACACCAUCGCUCCUCGAAACUGGGGUGUCCUCCCGGAGCACCAGACCCCAGGUCCCGGGACCUAUACUGUGCCCUCGCUCUUGGGCCCGCACGUCAUCGGCAAAGUCUCUGCCCCAACUUACUCCAUCUACGGCCGCAGUGCAGUGGGCAAUUUCUUCGAGGACCUUAGCAAGGUGGGGGAAGGGCCGAUGGGCUCAGUGUAGAGAAGGGUCUACGGGGAGGACUGAAGAGGAUCUGGUCAACAGGGAAUGGGGACCAGACGCAGCACCCCUUCCGCCCUCCCGCAGACCCCGGGGCCUUGCGCCUACCACGUGGUGAACCCUGGGGUCUACAAGCCCCGGGCCCCCCAAUUCACGAUGCUAGCACGGACUUCAGUUCCCCAAGACAACAAUCUGAAGCCGGGGCCCGCAGCCUACAACGUGGACCAGCGCCGGAAGCCUCGUGGCUGGACCUUCGGAAUCAGGCACUCGGACUACCUGGCCCCGCUGGUGACCGACGUGGACGACUGACCUCCUGGACGGGCGCGGCCCCACAAUUGUUUGCUUAAAGUUUCUGAGUC